UUUUUUUUUUUUCCUGGAGGGAACCAUGGAACUUCUGGUUGGGAUUCUAAGAAGGGGAACUGCAUGUGUGACUAGGCAGCGGAAGAGGAGAUUUGGACACAGACACAGAGAAAGAGUGCCAUGUGAACAUGAAGACUGCCAUCUACAAACGAGGAGGGAAGCCUCAGGAAGAAACCAACCCUGCCAACACCUUAAUCUCAGACUUCUAGCCUGCAGAACUGUGAGGAAAUCAAUUUCUGUUGUUUGAGCCACCCAGUCUGUGGAACUUUGUUAUGACAGCAGAGCUGACUAAUACACUCAGCAUGCAACAUCGAGCUAGUUAAUAAACAUUUCUGUGCUUCAUGUUGUA